GCCUGGUUAGUAGUUGAAUGGGAGACUGACUGGGAAUACCAGGU
rnacentral:rRNA from 1 species